rnacentral:tRNA from 2 species
GCGUGCAUGGCAAAGUGGUCACUGCACUCCCUUCCCACUUGCCCUGCUCAAGGUGCCCACAAAGGUGUCAAGGGAGAGAUCGUGGGUUCGAACCCCACUGCUCGCA